CAGGGUGGGGCUUCUCAGCACUUAUUUCAAAGUGAGGCGGGGCUUCAUCUUUUCCUUCAAAAUUGGGCGGGGCUUCUCUGCACUAUUAAUUUAAAAUGAGUCGGAGCCUCCCUCUGCUUUUACUUCAAGUCAGGGUGGGGCUUCUUCCCACUACUUCAAAAUGGGGUGGGGCUUCUCACUACUUUUACUUCAAGACAGGGUGGGGUUUCUCUGCACUUUUAUUUCAAAGAGAGGUGGGACUUUUUACCACUACUCCUAC